UUCUUUGUGAAGCUCUCUUUGGGAAUCUCCUUACUCUUCUUUGAAGUUUCUCCAAGUUCUCAAAUCUCUUAUGUGCUCCAAUAAUUUUGUUGAUUGUAUCCUAUAAAAGCCUAUCUUAUACCACAAAACCCUAAAAUUGCACCCUUCCUUCAUUUCAUCCUCUAUGUGAAGCUCUCUUUUUGAAGCUCCUAACUUUUCUUUAAAGCUUCUCCAAGCCCUCAAAUCUCUUAUAUGCUCAAAAAAUUGUUGCUCGUGUCCUAUAAAAUCUUAUCUUAUAUUAUAAAACCCUAGAGUUUCACCCCUCACUCAUUUCAUCCUCAAAAUAAAGCUCUCUUUGUAAAGCUCCUAACUCUUUUUCAAAGUUUUCCAAGCUAAGAUCUCUUAUGUGCUCUAAAAAAUUUGUUGAUUGGUGCUCAAAGAACAGAAACUAGAGGCUUCUGCAAAAGCUUUCCUCCCUAUGGAACUAUGUUUAUCACAUUUCGUCUAAAAGGCUUACCUUUAUGAUUCCACUGGAUUUGGAUUGAGGUUGUAGAAGUAUUGUUGAUCUUUGACACUGAUGAUGACAGCUACAUUUGAGAUCGUUGAAGAUUAAUUAGAUUAGAUACUUGUCAUCUUCAUUACAAGGAGACUUAGAAUUUUGAUUUUUAAGGAAAAUCAGAAGAACCAAUCUCUUCCUCAUGUCCAUAAAACACACACCUCUCCACCAUUCCAUCAUUAAGAUUCUUUGACAAGAUCAGCUUAUUCUAUCUCAUUGACAUAUGAGCAUAGUUCACUUCAAGACAAGAGAUGGACAUGAUCUUCUUUCUAACUCUCUCAAAUAUUGGUUUUUUUGUCCAAAAUCUUGUCCAAUUUGCACUUCCUACUAUUUAGUUCAUACCUCUAAGCAAGCACUUCGAUUUUUGGAGAUCCCUUAAGAAUAGAAUCAUGUUUAAUCCCAAAGGCCAAAGUGAAGGAGAAUUCUACAUUAAAGAGGUGCUCAUCCAACAAUAGAAAUUAGAGUCUUCUUCCAGUUGGGUUUCCUUCAAGAUUGGCUCCUUGACUAUUUUUCAUUGCCAGUAAGGUAUGUUUUUGCUUUGAAGUUUUCAUGUAGAAUUGUUUCGGCAUCAUAGCUUGGAUACCCAGUUUGAGCUGAAAAGGGAGGAUCAGGAAAAAUAGCAAACUGAGUUUACUAAAAUCUUGGAAACCCUCCAGGCAUUAACCAUUGGGUUGGAAAAGAAUUUAAAUGUGUAUGGUUAAAAUUUUGUAUUUGUGGGUGGCGGCUUUUGCUUCCACUGAUUUUCUAGUUGAGUCAUCCUCUCUUGGGUCAACACUUGCAUUUCUCUUUAUCAUUCCUCAAUCAUCUUUGCAGUGCUCCAAAUCUUCUUUUGUUAUUUCUUUUCUUCUUUUCUUUCUUUAGUUGGGGUUUAAUGUUAUUUUAUUACUUUCGGAAUGUCUUCUAAUGCUUAUUUGGAAUUUGGUCUACCAGUUUUUCUUGGAUCUAUGCGUAGAAUUCUACUUAAGGCAUUUCUUUCUUGGGCUUUCAUGGAUCUAUGGGUAAAAUUCUAUAUGAUCAUUUCUUUCCUAUUCUUGGUUCCUACAUGGGGUUAGCAUGUUUUCUAGUUUCUCUUGUUUCUUUAUACAUUUACAUUUGUAUCAAUUACGUGUUAGCUUUAUGGUGAUAUGGGUAUUGUUUGCAUAAUAAUUUGAAAGCAAGAAAAGAGAAAAACAUU